AAGCGAAGGUCCCAGCAGAGGGGUAAGAACUCUAAAAUGAGGCCUCUCUAACACUAAUUAAUUACCUUCGCAAAUUAAUUCGCCGAAUCGUAGGAUGCCCUGAAUUUUUAAUUUUUGUGGCAUCUUGAACCCUUGGCUAUAUUCGU